rnacentral:rRNA from 1 species
GACGAACGCUGGCGGCGUGCUUAACACAUGCAAGUCGAACGGAAAGGCCCUGCUUUUGUGGGGUGCUCGAGUGGCGAACGGGUGAGUAACACGUGAGUAACCUGCCCUUGACUUUGGGAUAACUUCAGGAAACUGGGGCUAAUACCGGAUAGGAGUUCCUGCUGCAUGGUGGGGGUUGGAAAGUUUCGGCGGUUGGGGAUGGACUCGCGGCUUAUGAGCUUGUUGGUGGGGUAGUGGCUUACAAGGCUUUGACGGGUAGCCGGCCUGAGAGGGUGACCGGCCACAUUGGGACUGAGAUACGGCCCAGACUCCUACGGGAGGCAGCAGUGGGGAAUAUUGCACAAUGGGCGGAAGCCUGAUGCAGCAACGCCGCGUGCGGGAUGACGGCCUUCGGGUUGUAAACCGCUUUCGCCUGUGACGAAGCGUGAGUGACGGUAAUGGGUAAAGAAGCACCGGCUAACUACGUGCCAGCCGCCGCAGUAA